GCAAAAGGCAAAGCAAGUUGACUAUGCUUGAGUUCAAGCCAUACAACUUUUACACAGUUCCCAAGAAGAACUCAAGCCUCUCUCCACCUUUCUUGUCUAUACUAUUAAAGCUCUUUAGUGCAAUUUCUGAGAAGAUUUAAGGUGCAUUCAUUUUCUUCAUUUCAUAUCUUACAUGCACAAGCUUCAACUCAAUAUCAACACAUGGAUCCCUUGCUGAAAAGUGUUUCUAAAGUGAUGACUCCCAACUCAAACUGUUACAUCACUCCGAGAGUGUGUUGACUAUGUUGACAAUAAUGAACAAUAUCACAGCCAAGCGACAUUGCUCAAUAAGACUUUGGACAUAUGUGGCGUAUGAAUUUAAAAUUGGUGUUGGAUGAUAUUCAAUUAUGUGUUUUAGAACUUAUAAUGAGAUAUGGGAUAUAUAUGCAUCAAUAUUUGAUGUUGUAGCUGUUUUGAACAUUAGAUGUAGGUAUUCAUGUAAUAAUUCCUUAAUUUAUAUGAGUAUACUACUAUUUUUUUGUCCCA